UGAGCUCCGAGUGCUUCCUGGACCCG
rnacentral:piRNA from 1 species